rnacentral:rRNA from 1 species
GACGAACGCUGGCGGCGUGCUUAACACAUGCAAGUCGAACGGAAAGGCCCUGCUUUUGUGGGGUGCUCGAGUGGCGAACGGGUGAGUAACACGUGAGUAACCUGCCCUUGACUUUGGGAUAACUUCAGGAAACUGGGGCUAAUACCGGAUAGGAGCUCCUGCUGCAUGGUGGGGGUUGGAAAGUUUCGGCGGUUGGGGAUGGACUCGCGGCUUAUCAGCUUGUUGGUGGGGUAGUGGCUUACCAAGGCUUUGACGGGUAGCCGGCCUGAGAGGGGGACCGGCCACAUUGGGACUGCGAUGCGGCCCAGACUCCUACGGGAGGCAGCAGUGGGGAGUAUUGCACAAUGGGCGGAAGCCUGAUGCAGCAACGCCGCGUGCGGGAUGACGGCCUUCGGGUUGUAAACCGCUUUCGCCUGUGACGAAGCGUGAGUGACGGUAAUGGGUAAAGAAGCACCGGCUAACUACGUG